GAUGAACGCUGGCGGCGUGCCUAAUACAUGCAAGUCGAGCGAACAGAUGAGGAGCUUGCUCCUCUGACGUUAGCGGCGGACGGGUGAGUAACACGUGGAUAACCUACCUAUAAGACUGGGAUAACUUCGGGAAACCGGAGCUAAUACCGGAUAAUAUAUUGAACCGCAUGGUUCAAUAGUGAAAGACGGUUUUGCUGUCACUUAUAGAUGGAUCCGCGCCGCAUUAGCUAGUUGGUAAGGUAACGGCUUACCAAGGCGACGAUGCGUAGCCGACCUGAGAGGGUGAUCGGCCACACUGGAACUGAGACACGGUCCAGACUCCUACGGGGGGCAGCAGUAGGGAAUCUUCCGCAAUGGGCGAAAGCCUGACGGAGCAACGCCGCGUGAGUGAUGAAGGUCUUCGGAUCGUAAAACUCUGUUAUUAGGGAAGAACAAAUGUGUAAGUAACUAUGCACGUCUUGACGGUACCUAAUCAGAAAGCCACGGCUAACUACGCG
rnacentral:rRNA from 1 species